AGACCUUGAAGUGAAAAAAUUCUCUAAGUUAUAUCUGUUCUUAUCAGUUUAAUAUCUGAUAUCUUCUUGAUGUGAGAACUUUAUAUUAAAUGGACUUUUGCAACAAGGAGAUGGAAUAGGAGCUUGCUCCAUCCACUCCAUGCAUCAAUCUGGUAUUGCAGUACUUCCAGGUAUGGUGUAUUUCCC